UACGUAGGGUGCGAGCGUUUGUCCGGAAUUAUUGGGCGUAAAGGGCUCGUAGGCGGUUUGUCACGUCGGGAGUGAAAACUCGGGGCUCAACCCCGAGCCUGCUUCCGAUACGGGCAGACUAGAGGUAUGCAGGGGAGAACGGAAUUCCUGGUGUAGCGGUGAAAUGCGCAGAUAUCAGGAGGAACACCGGUGGCGAAGGCGGUUCUCUGGGCAUUACCUGACGCUGAGGAGCGAAGUGUGGGGAGCGAACAGG
rnacentral:rRNA from 1 species